AAGAAUUUAGUUAAAAUAUAACAUUAGAUUGUCAAACUAAAAUUAUUAAUAUUAAUAAUUCUUGA
rnacentral:tRNA from 1 species